AUGUGUGGUGCGUUGGUGCCAAGCCGUCAGGCUGGCCAUGCCUCUGGCCGGCCCUGCAAUGGGAGAUGGACCAAGAACUUUAUUCCUUGCAUCAAGCGGGGAGAGGAGCUCAUUACUGAACAAGCUAGGAAAGAAGAAGUGUUCUCGGAGGCCUUUGAAAACUUGCUGGGCAAAGCGGGAACAAGAAGAGGUUCGCUAGACCUUAACUUUCUCCAAAUCCCAAGUCACAACUUGCAAGAGCUUGAACAUUUAUUCAUGGAAGAGGAAGUAUGGAAGGUCAUAAAGGAGAUCCCGGCUGACAGAGCCCCGGGACCGAACGGGUUUAUCGGAGCUUUCUACCAUGUGGCGUGGCCAAUCAUUAAGGGAGACAUAAUGGCUGCACUCAUGAAAUUGUAUGUGGGAGACGGCAGAGGAUUUGACAAGCUAAAUGGAGCGCAUAUCACCUUAAUUCCCAAGAAGCCGGAUGCCAUAGAGGUGGGAGAUUAUCGGCCAAUCAGCCUCCCACACAGCUUUGCAAAGAUCUUCGCCAAGCUGCUUGCCUUGAGAGCGCGCCCUCGCAUGUCAGUGAUCAUCGAGAUCAACCAAUCGGCGUUUAUCAAAGGGAGAAACACACAUGAAAAUUUCUUGCUCGUCAGACAAGUGGCUCGGAAGCUGCGUGCCAGAAAGAGGAGAAGGGGCUUUUCCUUAAGCUAG
rnacentral:rRNA from 1 species